rnacentral:rRNA from 1 species
UACGUAGGGUGCAAGCGUUAAUCGGAAUUACUGGGCGUAAAGCGUGCGCAGGCGGUUUUGUAAGUCUGUCGUGAAAUCCCCGGGCUCAACCUGGGAAUUGCGAUGGAGACUGCAAGGCUAGAAUCUGGCAGAGGGGGGUAGAAUUCCACGUGUGAGCAGUGAAAUGCGUAGAGAUGUGGAGGAACACCGAUGGCGAAGGCAGCCCCCUGGGUCAAGAUUGACGCUCAUGCACGAAAGCGUGGGGAGCGAACAGG